rnacentral:rRNA from 1 species
CCUACGGGUGGCAGCAGUGGGGAAUAUUGCGCAAUGGGCGAAAGCCUGACGCAGCGACGCCGCGUGAGGGAUGAAGGUCUUCGGAUCGUAAACCUCUGUCAGCAGGGAAGAACGGUCAAUGGGCUAAGCAGCAGUGAAUUGACGGUACCUGCAAAGGAAGCACCGGCUAACUCCGUGCCAGCAGCCGCGGUAAUACGGAGGGGGCGAGCGUUCAUCGGAAUUACUGGGCGUAAAGCGCUCGUAGGCGGUAUGUCAAGUGAAGGGUGAAAUCCGCGCGCGCAACGUGGGAACUGCCUUUGAAACUGGCAACCUGGAGUGUGUGAGAGGCUAGUGGAAUUCCUGGUGUA